rnacentral:rRNA from 1 species
GUGCCAGCCGCCGCGGUAAUACCGGCAGCUCAAGUGAUGUCCCAUAUUAUUGGGCCUAAAGCGUCCGUAGCCGGCCGGACAAGUCCGUUGGGAAAUCCACGUGCUCAACGCGUGGGCGACCAGCGGAAACUAUCCGGCUUGGGGCCGGAAGACUCGAGGGGUACGUCCGGGGUAGGAGUGAAAUCCCGUAAUCCUGGACGGACCACCGGUGGCGAAAGCGCCUCGAGAAGACGGACCCGACGGUGAGGAACGAAAGCUAGGGUCUCGAACCGGAUUAGAAACCCUAGUAGUCC